AUUGAACGCUGGCGGCAGGCCUAACACAUGCAAGUCGAGCGGAGCGGCGGACGGGCGAGUAAUGCCUAGAUAUCUGCCUGGCAGUGGGGGAUAACGUCCGGCUGCGGGCGCUAAUACCGCACACUAUCAGAUGAGCCUAGGCCGGAUUAGUUAGCUGGUGGGGUAAAGGCCUACCAAGGCGACGAUCCGUCCCUGGCCUGAGAGGAUGAUCAGUCACACUGGAACUGAGACACGGUCCAGAAUCCUACGGGAGGCAGCAGUGGGGAAUAUUGGACAAUGGGCGAAAGCCUGAUGCAGCCAUGCCGCGUGUGUGAAGAAGGUCGUCGGGUUGUAAAGCACUUUAAGUUGGGAGGCGUUACCAACAGAAUAAGCACCGGCUAACUUCGUGCCAGCAGCCGCGGUAAUUC
rnacentral:rRNA from 1 species